UUACGGCCACAUCACGUUGAAACACCGGUUCCGGUACAAUCAAAGAAGUUAAGCAACAUCGAGCCCUGUCAGUAUCUGAGUAGGUGACCGCUUCGGAAUACCAGGCGCUGUAAG